UACAGAGGGGGCGAGCGUUGUUCGGAAUUACUGGGCGUAAAGGGCGCGUAGGCGGCCCGCUAAGUCGAACGUGAAAUCCCCAGGCUCAACCUGGGAACUGCGUCCGAUACUGGCAGGCUUGAAUCCGGGAGAGGGAUGUGGAAUUCCUGGUGUAGUAGUGAAAUGCGUAGAUAUCAGGAGGAACACCCGUGGCGAAGGCGGCUUCCUGGACCGAUACUGACGCUGAGGCGCGAAAGCUAGGGGAGCAAACGGG
rnacentral:rRNA from 1 species